AUUGAACGCUGGCGGCAGGCCUAACACAUGCAAGUCGAACGGUAACAGGAAGCAGCUUGCUGCUUCGCUGACGAGUGGCGGACGGGUGAGUAAUGUCUGGGCAACUGCCUGAUGGAGGGGGAUAACUACUGGAAACGGUAGCUAAUACCGCAUAACGUCGCAAGACCAAAGAGGGGGACCUUAGGGCCUCUUGCCAUCGGAUGUGCCCAGAUGGGAAUAGCUAGUAGGUGGGGUAACGGCUCACCUAGGCGACGAUCCCUAGCUGGUCUGAGAGGAGGACCAGCCACACUGGAACGGAGACACGGUCCAGACUCCUACGGGAGGCAGCAGUGGGGAAUAUUGCACAAUGGGCGCAAGCCUGAUGCAGCCAUGCCGCGUGUAUGAAGAAGGCCUUCGGGUUGUAAAGUACUUUCAGCGGGGAGGAAGGGAGUAAAGCUAAUACCUUUGCUCAUUGACGUUACCCGCAGAAGAAGCACCGGCUAACUCCGUG
rnacentral:rRNA from 1 species